UAAGGGCUCACCAAGGCGACGAUCCCUAGCUGGUCUGAGAGGAUGAUCAGCCACACUGGAACUGAGACACGGUCCAGACUCCUACGGGAGGCAGCAGUGGGGAAUAUUGCACAAUGGGCGCAAGCCUGAUGCAGCCAUGCCGCGUGUAUGAAGAAGGCCUUCGGGUUGUAAAGUACUUUCAGCAGUGAGGAAGGUGGAGUCGUUAAUAGCGGCAUCAUUUGACGUUAGCUGCAGAAGAAGCACCGGCUAACUCCGUGCCAGCAGCCGCGGUAAUACGGAGGGUGCGAGCGUUAAUCGGAAUUACUGGGCGUAAAGCGCAUGCAGGUGGUUUGUUAAGUCAGAUGUGAAAGCCCGGGGCUCAACCUCGGAAUUGCAUUUGAAACUGGCAGACUAGAGUACUGUAGAGGGGGGUAGAAUUUCAGGUGU
rnacentral:rRNA from 1 species